CCUACGGGAGGCAGCAGUGAGGAAUAUUGGUCAAUGGACGAGAGUCUGAACCAGCCAAGUAGAGUGAAGGAUGACUGCCCUACGGGUUGUAAACUUCUUUUAUAAAGGAAUAAAACGAGGCACGUGUGCCUUGUUGCAUGUACUUUAUGAAUAAGGAUCGGCUAACUCCGUGCCAGCAGCCGCGGUAAUACGGAGGAUCCGAGCGUUAUCCGGAUUUAUGGGGGUGACAGGGAGCGUAGAGGGGUUGUUAAGUCAGUUGUGAAAGUUUGCGGCUCAACCGUAAAAUUGCAAGUGAUACUGGCAGUCUUGCGUACAGUUGCGGUAGGCGGCAUUCGUGGUGUAGCGG
rnacentral:rRNA from 1 species